UCUCUUUUUCAACAAACCUUUUCAUCAAGGCAGCAUCAACACUACAUUUCAUUUGAAAACAUUGAUAAUAGUCCAUCUCUUGCCAUAAACUUUUCAACAAAUUAGCGUAUUUAGGAAUAGAACGACCUCCUUGUUUAGUUGCAGAGAUCUUGGUUUUGAUCUCAUAAAUUUGAGCAUCAUCACCCGCCUUGGAAUAGGUUUUUUCAACAGCUUCCCAUAUUUCCUCGGCUGUGGUAAGAAACAUACAUAUAUCACUGAUCUCUGGCACCAUUAAACUCCAUAGCCAGGAUAUAACCAUAGAGUCUGCUUUAUCCGAGGCUUCAAAUCUAGGAUCCCUUGGUUUGGGUCCAAUACCAAGUAGGUGACUAAUUUUAUGCUUUCCUUUUAGAAAGGUUCAAACAAACUGAGACCACUUUAAAUAAUUUUUUUUCAUUCAAUCUAUGGGUUGCUGGAAUAUUAUGCAAAUCUCUAGUUGAGGGAGUAUUUAUGAUGUCACUAAUUCGGUUGUCACUCAAUUGAGUAGGGUUGGGUUCAUCAACAAUCUCAGACAUGGUUGGAAUUUGAAAAUAAUCUCAAAAAUGGAGGAAAAAGAAUGUUGGAAAAAAAAAAUCAGCAAUGAAGGCUGAAUAAAAAGUAUUCCCAAUGGAGCCUCACAAGGCUACAAAUUAGAGACUAAAUCAAAUCCUACAAAUUAG
rnacentral:lncRNA from 1 species